rnacentral:rRNA from 1 species
UACGUAGGGUGCGAGCGUUGUCCGGAAUUAUUGGGCGUAAAGAGCUCGUAGGCGGUCUGUCGCGUCGAAUGUGAAAACCCGGGGCUCAACUCCGGGCCUGCAUUCGAUACGGGCAGGCUAGAGUUCGGUAGGGGAGUCUGGAAUUCCUGGUGUAGCGGUGAAAUGCGCAGAUAUCAGGAGGAACACCGGUGGCGAAGGCGGGACUCUGGGCCGAUACUGACGCUGAGGAGCGAAAGCGUGGGGAGCGAACAGG